rnacentral:rRNA from 1 species
CCUCCCUCUUCCUGUUCACGGAGGGGGAGCCGCCGCCGCCCCUUCCCCUUCCAAAGCUUGCGCUCUUCCUCUCUUCCCCGCCCCCACGCGCCGCUGGCCGCCAGCCCGCCGACUUCUUCGCCUCCGGGAAGCACCGCCUUGUUUUCUGUUCGGCGGCGGCCGUUGUCGAGCUCGAGCCCGGGUGCGGUGGCGCGUUUUUGAGCAUGGCUGCGGCCCGAAGCGGCGGGGGUAGAGGCGCAGGGCGAGGAGCACCCGCCGGAGGCGCUCGAUGUGGCUCCCCCGUCACCCCUUCUACGCUGACUGCAGAUGCUUCCCCGUGGCCCCUCCUUCUCCUCCAUUGCCAGGGUUAGGAUUUGCUAUUGGAUUGGUGACUGCCGUGAGCUGAUAACAUAUCAGGUCACUAUGAUCUCCCGUCCCUAUUGAUCGAGGAUGCUUUGGUGGUUCUGCCUUUGCUCGGCCAUCCCAUUGCAGGUUGCCACCAAUGGGAAUACAGCCAGUGGACUGGUUUUGCUUGUCAGCGACCAGAACAAGAACAAGUCAGUUCUAUCUAUACAUAUUCAACUUUGGGGAUGAUUGGAGGCUCUGUGUUCAUAGUUUAUAUGGGUCAUCUUUAUAUCUGGGCCAUGGUAGCUGUGAGAGCUUUUUAACCUACCCAAAAGAUCGAGCGAAGAGAAGCAACUGUCAGGGCUCAGGCUGCUGAAUUGGUAGCUUAUAUGGCAUUCUGAUUAUACUAUUAUUUUGAACCAGAAAAUUGUCAAUGACUACAUAUAUCUUUGUGGAAACAAGUUUCAUCACUUCCUCACAGACACUUCUUCAUGGCAUUCUUAGUCGGGAGCUUGGUAAGGCUCAAUAUAUCUUUCAGUAUGCAAAUAAUUUCCAAUGAUGACGAUUUGUUUAAAGACUUCCAUCUCGUUUUAAGAAUAUUUUUAUCCUAUAAUAUGUGUAAAGAGCUUAUCGAAAUCAGAGUAAUAGACUGUAUCGUACCCAUGACAUUUAAAGCCUGCUUGGUACUGAAUAUUGCAGGGAGAUGCACAGUACAUAUAAAACUAUGUAAGAAAAACUGUUUCUUGCACAUUUAGACGGAUUGUGAUAUAACUUAUAUAUUCCAUUUUACUGUAGUUUAGCAUGCUGUACAAUCCUGCUAUCCAUGGAUGAUUGCGCCUGUUUCUUUCAUGCGGUCCAUUUUCCCUUCAGGAUAUGUUUUGAAAACAUGUUAUCAUGUAGAUUUGUGCAGUCAUGGUCAACUGGUACAGAUAUGUAUAGUUUCAAAAGAACAUUACAGAUAUGUAUAGUUUCAAAAGAACAGUAUGACAACUAAUUAUCGCUGACUUGCAUCUCUCUUUUUGUUGUGUUGAUUGCUUUUGCCAAGUCAUUUUGUCCUUUACUAUAUUUAGUUAUUUACCAAUGCUUAACAAUACCACUUUUGCUUGGCUAUAGUAGAUCUUGCAGGUUGUAUGAUUCCUUUUAUACUUCCAAAUUUUUAUUAGUUACCACUAUAUACUUCCAAAUCUUGUACUGAAUCUGCUCAAUAGUAGAACAGAGUUCAGUUAUCUGAAUCAUAGCAGCACACACAUACACCGCACUUCGUAAUGUCAUUUACUAGGGGUUGCAUUAGGGUAUUUUAUUUCCAUUAUAAACUGAUAAUAAUUAUGAGUUUAGUAAGGUAACAAUAAUCUGGGUUAUAGCAGAACAUUAGGUGUGGUAUGCUUGUAUGAGUAGAAUGUAGAGUUUAUAAAUGAACUAAAAUCUGAGAGCAGGAAGUGGUAGGUUUAAUUUCAGUUAGAAGAAUUGGUGUACUGCAGCAUCAUAUAUUCAGGUAAUCCCUUGCAUUUUUUUGCCAUGUUCAAGCUUUAUACAUCGUUUGUAUAUGCAUAAAGUACGCAACAUAAACUGGAGUUCGUAGUGUCAGGAGUAAGAAGGGUGCAACUAAGUAGUAGCAUGUUACAGGAUAAGAACGGUUGUUUAGUUUAACAAUGCCCUUUAACAGUGUAACUCCAAAGAGGUCGGAUAAAAUGAAUUAUUGAUAUAUCUGAACUCUAGAGUAUAAGAUGCAUCUUCCUACGCUUCCUGAGAUCACGGUUAUCGUACCUAUUUAUUUGAGAUAUGCUAAAUGUUCCUUUGAUAGUAGAUGCAACUUGCAGCUUUUGUGGACGUUCGUUUGUUUGUGGGAAAUUUUAUCUCUUCCCUACAGUCAAAGCUCAUGUGCAAUUUGGAGAGAAAUGCACGCAUGCUAUCGCUGCAUUUGACAAUUCCUUUUAGGUAUCAAGCCAAUAGCGGCUUACGUUUCCUGGUCAUUUUUCUCUUGGAAAUGGAAGUUGUUGCUUCCUAGGUGAGCUGAGGCACGGGAAUGAGUUUGCACCUACUGUUGGAUUCUUCCUUACUACCCACCCGUCUCAGGUAUAAGGAUUCACUUCGAUUGCAGUUUCCCUACCCGAAGUUCAUCCACGGCUACUGGACUGAGAAUGGCGUGGCACCGAUGAUUGAUGGAGUAGGAUUUAACCAAGCUUGGUGUUACCAAGCUACACCCGUUAUCACCUGAAGUUAUCUCACGCCAAGCGAGGAUCAACAUUGGAGUUAAAGGUCAUAGUGGAAACGCCGCUUGGAUUGCUUCUGGACUUCCACAGUGACACUAGGAUGUUCCAAGGCCAACUUGAGCUCCUCCUUGUGAUCCGUGUGUUGCAACAUGCAAGAAAAUCAAAUGAAGGAGUGUGGACAAAGACAAAGUUAUAUAUCAAGCAAAUUAGAUGAAGGCGUGUGGACAAAGUUAUAUAUCUAAUGGUCGACCAUGUAGUUUACUACUAUGGCCUGCUUUUGGUUUCUAUCAUACCAAACCUUGCUUAGGUUAGCGAAAACGGGAUUACGUAGGAGUUGAGGUUUGGCAAGUAGCAUCUCUUUGAUUAAGUCCAAACCAUAAUUGAGAGGCAUUGCAGUCGUGGGUCAGUUCAUAGAUAAUGCUAUGUUUUAUAUGGAAUACUUCAAUGGUUUUAUUACCGGGUUGGAUAUGAGUGCACCCGGAUACGGACAAGAGACCAACAAUAACAAAUAAUUGAUCAGGCUUUGUAAAAGCGGCAGGGAUCAAAUAGUAUCAUAUGUGCCAUUGCCUUCGAAAUUGAAAAGGGGAGACUGUCGCUCACUGUCCAUCAGCUUUAGAAUCGCAAGUGCAUCAUUGUUUACACAUAAAUCGUUCUAUACAAUGUAUCUAACGGAUUGACGGCAUCAGGUUAAUGUGACAUGUCGCCUAUGAAGUUGAUCGACAAGGCAGCUGAAUGAAGCAACUUAUUAGUAUGUCUAAUAGCUAUGGCUAUGUAGUUUUUUACCUUUUUAUGUGUUCCUGCUCUUGGUACUUCCUCUCUCAUGUUCGUGAUCUUAGUACCAAACUUAAUUUCAAGUGGUUAGUUUUUGUGGUCUCAUGAGCGCACUAAAUCGAAUGCUGCCUUAUUUCUCGUGACGAUGUCAAACUCAAUGAUGUUUUGCUCCUAUUGCGUGUGAAUGUUUCUUCUUCUUAUUAGUUCGUUGUAUCCUGUUUGAAUACGUACGCU